rnacentral:lncRNA from 1 species
UCGACAUACCGAAGGUCGUGCUCAUGAUCCGGAGCACAACGGCUCGCUGUGGGAAGCGCGGGAGCAACCCGAAGGUUCAGCGAACAACGCGCAGUCAAGGGAGAUCGCGCCGAACAGGACUAACCGGACACUACUGAUCCAAAAUAAGGUGAGCACUGUGAUCAGCACUGACUAGCGGUCACCGUGCUCACCUCCGGAGGCAUCGGAACAGCCUCGAAUCGCCGGAAAGCACGCACAAUCACAGAACAACAGCCAAAAAGGCUCCAUAGGGUCGACACCGCAAAAACAGCGGAACGGGGCCU